AUUUAUACCGUGAAACUGCGAAUGGCUCAUUAAAUCAGUUAUCGUUUAUUUGAUAGUACCUUACUACUUGGAUAACCGUGGUAAUUCUAGAGCUAAAUACAUGCUGAAAACCUCGACUUCGGAAGGGGUGUAUUUAUUAGAUAAAAAACCAACGCCCUUCGGGGCUUUUUGGUGAUUCAUGAUAACUUUUCGGAUCGCAUGGCCUUGCGCCGGCGACGGUUCAUUCAAAUUUCUGCCCUAUCAACUUUCGAUGGUAAGGUAUUGGCUUACCAUGGUUUCAACGGGUAACGGGGAAUUAGGGUUCGAUUCCGGAGAGGGAGCCUGAGAAACGGCUACCACAUCCAAGGAAGGCAGCAGGCGCGCAAAUUACCCAAUCCCGAUACGGGGAGGUAGUGACAAUAAAUACUGAUACAGGGCUCUUUUGGGUCUUGUAAUUGGAAUGAGUACAAUUUAAACCUCUUAACGAGGAACAAUUGGAGGGCAAGUCUGGUGCCAGCAGCCGCGGUAAUUCCAGCUCCAAUAGCGUAUAUUAAAGUUGUUGCAGUUAAAAAGCUCGUAGUUGAAACUUGGGUCUGGCUGGCAGGUCCGCCUCACCGCGUGUACUUGUCCGGCCGGGCCUUCCUUCUGGAGAACCUCAUGCCCUUCACUGGGCGUGUUGGGGACCAGGACUUUUACUUUGAAAAAAUUAGAGUGUUCAAAGCAGGCCUUUGCUCGAAUACGUUAGCAUGGAAUAAUAGAAUAGGACGUGCGGUCCUAUUUUGUUGGUUUCUAGGACCGCCGUAAUGAUUAAUAGGGACAGUCGGGGGCAUCAGUAUUCAAUUGUCAGAGGUGAAAUUCUUGGAUUUAUUGAAGACUAACUACUGCGAAAGCAUUUGCCAAGGAUGUUUUCAUUAAUCAGUGAACGAAAGUUAGGGGAUCGAAGACGAUCAGAUACCGUCGUAGUCUUAACCGUAAACUAUGCCGACUAGGGAUCGGGCGCUGUUCUUUUUCUGACGCGCUCGGCACCUUACGAGAAAUCAAAGUUUUUGGGUUCUGGGGGGGA
rnacentral:rRNA from 1 species